GGAAUUUCCCUUUUCCCAGGCAUCCCUCGCUAGAGGUCAGCACCGCCCCGCGCUGCCUCGGGAUGUCGGGAAUGGGGAAAUUGGGAUCCGAACCUUCGGGGCUGCGGUUGGGUUUGCUCUGUGCCCGAUUGGCACGGCUCUGUCCUGGCACGGCUCGCUCCUGGCACGGCUGCCCGUCCCUGGCAGUGCCCAGGCGUGGUGCAAGGGGUCCCUGCCCAUGGCUGGGCAGAUUUAGGAUCAAUCCAGCCCAAACCAAUCCGGGAUUCCGUGGGAUAGAGUCCAACCUUUGGGAAAAGCACCUCAGUCCCUCACUUCUCUUGGACUGAAUUUAUCUCCAGGUCAGGGAAGGAGCAGCCUGGCAGCUGGGGCAAACCCAGAGGGACAUCUCAGCUGUCCCCUCAAUCCUGAUGGAAAUUUCCUUCAACUCCAGACUCCAGGACUUCAUCAAAAACCCGACUUUAUUCCCAGAAUAUCUGCAGAUUUCAAAGAAGGAAAACCAGGAGGGGAAUUUUCUCUCAGGGAGCAGCUCCAAGGUUCUCGUUUUGUUUGCAGAUGCAUCAUUAAUGUUCAGAGUCUCGCGUGCUGCCCACCAGGAGUUUCCCUGUUUGGAGUUCCAUCCCCCUGUCAGUAAGAAAGGAACCAAACAAAGUUUUAUUGUUGAAAUAAAAUUUCCUUUGUUGGAA